CCACCCUGUGGUAGAUUAUGCUCCCGGCACAGGGAUUAGAACAAUGUAAAUGUUGGCAAGGGCGAACAGUGGAAAUCCUUCUCUGGAGACUGGGGUCAGACUGAGUAAAGGGACAAACAUUGCGGUGAGCUGCCACACUGCGUAUUGGCUGUUCAGUGUUCGAGAGAGCAGGAAAUCUAGCAGUCCACCAUUGCUUAAAGCCAACCUGUAGCUCAUAAAGGAGUGAUGAAGUCUUCAUUGACGCUGUAUGUGGACUCGACAGUCAUUACUGAUCCACUACGUUGGGGAGUUUAGAGACACCAGUCUGUGCACAGAAAGAUGACUGAUGGAGGAACAGAGUGAAAAUGUAGCUACAGGAUUGCCAAAGCUGGAAAUGAGGAUGAUGGGGGUUUCCUGACAAUUAUGGAAUUUCGAGAACCUUGCUGACAACUGGUUGCUCAUGUGUUAAAUUGAAAGAAUGUACAAAAAAAAAAUGAAAUUCUUAUUUUGACAGGAUUGAAGUUACCAGGCUGGCAGUUUAUGAUUCAGAACACAAGAACUGGCUCUUCCAGGAUCAUAACAUGUCUCAAAACAUCUUGCCCUCAAUUUUUUUUCCACUUCAACGUUUUUAUAACAACUUGCCAUUGUUUAUCCUACAGGGAGUAUGUGGUUCACAGAUAAACGGAAACUAGUACCUCCAGUUGAUAACUCAGUCUUUAUCAGAGAACUUGCUGCAACUCUUAAUUACACAUAUCUUAAAAAUAGCUCAUUGCAGGAAACUGUCAGUCUGCAGGAUCUUUAUCUUUUGUCCCCAAGUACACAGACAGAAUCAGCUCAGGUGAACACUCUAAGGAAAAAUACAAAGCAGUAAGUUCAGAGUCAAUGGCUAUCAAGAACAGCUGGUUUCUGAUCCUAAGCUUUUCUUGUACAGCAACAAUAUUCAUACUUCAGCUAUUUGUAGAUUUGAACCUUUCCACCUCAUUGGCCUCAACACAUACUGCAUCCUGUGCUUCUGAACUCACAUUCACAUACUGCCUGCCUGCAGGAUGUGGACUGGGCUGGGAUUCUGUGCUGCUUUCUCACUGCUUUAUUUACUGUCCAGUAAAAGGAAAUAUUAAGGGGCAGAGAUUAGUUGAUGACAAUAAGUACUCUUUUAGCAAUCAAGACUCAUUCCAAGUUACACCGUUUGAUGUUAACUGAUGCACUGACUGUUUGGAGUACAACUGAAUGCAGAAUCAAUGUCAACAUUUUCUGGUAGGGAUUUAUCCCAGUAUGCAUUCAGCAGAUGAAAAGACGGAUAAAACAGAACUCUUUAAUAGAACAACUGAUCCUGCAAGUUUUCCUUUCCUCUCUUGUGUAAACAGGUUCCUGGCAUUUGGUAUGAUUGAAAUCGAAAAUUCACUGAAUGGGGAAAUCACAGAUCACAUCACUGUGUUUUGUGUCUCUCAAUGUUCCUGAGAGCGGCCAUAAGCAAUAUAUUGGUUGGGAUUGUAGCUUUCUGCAAAAUGUGCACAGGUAGCACAAAUUCCAAAUAAAUUAGUUACUGCCUGCCUGAAAAUAACACCAGCAGGAAUCUGGCACAAAUGUCCUAACCACUUGCAUCUAGAAGAUAGAUCAAAAUUUCCCCAUGAUAAACUUCACGAUCACAAGCCAAUAGUUUUUCUUUUUAAUCAAACCAUUAGUAACUCAAAGGUAAGGUGUGCUUCUGCUGCAUCACACGCUGAUUAAUUAGAGCAGUUCAGUUUAUCAUAAUAUUGAAUAAAUAAUCCUCAAGUUGGUUCCAUUAUUUUACUUGCCUAUAAGAAGCCUGGCCAGAAAAUGGAUGCAACAAUGACUAGUUUCUACCCCUUAACUUAAAAACAAUGAAAAUAAACUCAGCCCACAAAGCUAAAAUACCCCUUUUGUAUGAUCUGUCUAUUACACGGCUCAACAAUUGAACUGAAACACGUUUGAUGAAACACUAGCAUAAAUCUUCAUAGUGGAAAGAAAGACUUUCAUUUAUAUAGUUCCUUUUACAACCAAUAAACAUUUUGUUUAACUGAAA